AUAUCCCUUCAAGAAGCCAAAAUCAGAUAAUUUUUCUUUAAAAAAAUAUAUAGAUUAUCAAAACAGUUUAUUUAAUAGUUCACAACUAAGCAAGUAAUUGUUGCAUCUCUACUAUUUACUAUGCUAAAAUGGAAGCCAAACAAGUGGAAGAAAUGUCACGGUCUAUCCGUGACCAGUCUUGUUGGGAGUGUGUCUCUCUGUGUGUGGUGUGGGUGUGGUCUUCCCAGGUUCCUGACUCUCCGGCACAGCUGCUGCCAAUCUGCCAAUAAAGCCUAGGCUUAAAUACUCUGUGCUCCUGACUGCCACUGCCACAUUGUUCUCACUCCAGUGUGCCUGGGAUUCCCGUUUGCCACACCACUUCCCAUGCCAACGCAACCGUAACCGGACUUCAGUUCCACCACGCUGUCUCCAACCCCGUAGACCAGCUCCGGUUAACUCACCAGCACUACUCCACUUACUUUCUGAGUUAUCAUUAAAACCCUCAUUUGAACCUCAA